rnacentral:rRNA from 1 species
AUACGAAGGGUGCAAGCGUUACUCGGAAUUAUUGGGCGUAAAGGGCGCGUAGGCGGCCUGACAAGUCAAAGGUGAAAUCCCUCGGCCUAACCGAGGAACUGCCUUUGAAACUGCCAGGCUUGAGGCCGGGAGAGGGUAGUGGAAUUCCCAGUGUAGCGGUGAAAUGCGUAGAUAUUGGGAGGAACACCAGUGGCGAAGGCGAUUACCUGGACCGGUACUGACGCUGAGGCGCGAAAGCGUGGGGAGCAAACAGGAUUAGAAACCCCAGUAGUCC